CUAGCUUCCAUCUCAUGAGGCAGGUCUAUGCAGAGACCCCCAUGGCGAGGACUGAGGGCUGUCGGCUGCUAAAAGCCACCUAAAUGGAUUUGGACAAGGAUCCGCUCAAGAUGAAAUGGCAGCCCUGACUGACAGCUUCCCUGACAGUGCAUGAGUGACCUUGAGCUAGGGGUGCAUUCAGGUUCAUCCAGGUUCCUGAGCACCAGAAACUAUGAGACGUAGAGAAAAAUGACAGGGACUCACUUUCCAAGAAAUUACACUGUGUUCAAUGACUUCCCAUCAAGAGUAAGCAAUGUUCCGUAUCCUGCCAUUGGAAGGACUAUUACCCUGCACAUUCACAGGCCCACAGCUUGCUUCCUGCCUCAGGUUUCCAUCUUUGGACCACAGCCUGAACAUUGGGCUCGAGGAGCUGUCCUAAGUGGAGCACUGGCAGCAAUCACUGUGACAUUUCUGCACGGGCAGCUCACCCUCCCAGACUUGUGAAGUCUUGGCAUUUUCUGCCACCCUGGGGAUCAGCAGGAGGAGCUGUGGGUCAGCCCUGCCUGAGGAUCCCUGGUGCCUAGCAGUGGCUGGACACAGCAGGAAUGAAAACAAUAUUAAUUUUUUGAAGAAAUAAAUGAAUGAGUGUCCAGGAUUCAAGCCAAGCCUUAAAGUCUUAGAGGUUUUUCUAAAGAAACUUGAUCCUGUUACUUCCCCAUGGGCAACCCUUUUCAGCUCAUUGUUCUUGAGUCUGGUCUCUCACCCCAUCCGGCGACAUCCGGUCCUUUCUGGUCCAGAUCCAGCCUCACCUUGUUCCCCUCCCUCCACACUCAGCCGCAGGCCACCCUGCAUUACUCUCAGCACCUCUGUGAGAAGGGCUCUCUUUUGCCACUGAUCUCUCAUUCAUUUCUGUCCUUGGAACAAUCUUCGUUCAUUCCCCACUCUCCUGCUGGCCAUGCUACUUGUCAUCUAGAUCUCAGGCAUGUGUCCCCUCUGCUUGGAAGCCUUCCCUGCUUAGAGGCACCACUGCCUGAGAUGGAGCCUCAUUGCUGUCACAUCCUCUGUGGCCUUCCUGAUCACACUCACUGUGAAAGCCUAAAAUGAUCAUUCACUAAAAAUGAUCAGUUACUCAAAUUUAAGUACAUGUUCAAGCUCAAGCUUAACAUACAGCUCCUCACCUUCAUAUCUAUCAAAGGUUCCCACUGCAUUUAAAAUAUAAUCUGAACUUUUUUCCAGGGCCUUUGAGACCCCUGCUGAACUGCCCCCUCCCCCUGAAACCUCCCUCCCUCCACUCUCCUCUCACUCACUGUGCUCUCACCACACUGGCCUUGAUGUUCCUUGAGCAGGCCCAACUCCUUCCUGGAGCCUCAGGGCCUUUGCACACACUCUUCUUUCUGCUCAGAAAGCUCCAGAUUCCCCUGGAGACUGUGGGCUCGUUUACAGGUUUCUGCUCCACAGUCAUCUCAUCCCCAAAUGAAUCAUUCCAUCGAAAGCUGUCCCCAUCAACCUCUUGAGUCCUCAGCAAUCACAUGAAGGAAGUUUUGUUUUAUUUACAAUACCUGUCAUUAGCUGAAAUGUUUUAUUUAUUUACUUGCUCACUCAUUGGCUGGCUGCCUCAUUUGACUGCAAUGACAAGGGUCUAGCUCAUUACCAUCCCUCCUGUACCUAGUACAUCCAGCCACUCAGCGACUACCAAGCUGACCAUCUUUUUGGCAAGCCACCAGCCUGGGACUCCCAUGCAAUGAAGAAAUCUGAGCUGCUCAACAAUGCUGGGCCCCUGCCCUGGGCUGUGCCAGCAUGAGGGGGAGUCUCAACAGCUCACAAAGCAGCCCUGCAGUCCUUCCCUUCUUUCUUGUCCAGUUUUACACCAUCUGCCUUAAAAAUAAUUAAGACAUUAGAAAAAAAUUCCAGACUACAUGAUUUGGGGCACUCACAUCACAUGCUGUUACUCUGCCAGAGAUUUUGGUGGUUCUCACGCCAAGGGUACCAGACCUACAGGAGGAGCCCUCACAAAUCACUAGGUAGAGAGUGGGCAACAUCAUUCAGUCCCUGGCAGGAGUGCCCCAUUGCCCCACGGCAGGCUGAUAAACAGGGAGGGCCUGGGCACCAGUCAUCCAUCUCCUUAAUGGGACAUUAAUGUCUUCAACUGGCCACUUGGGCCCCCAGCACAGAAUCCAACUGGGGCAGUGUCUAAUUGCCCCCUGACGCCAGUGAUUUAUGGCAUGGGCUCCCAUGGCAGCUUGAAUCCAGCCAAUUUAUUCAGAGAGUGAACUGAAAAUGGUGGCUUAACAAGGAGCUCCCCCCGCACCUGUUUGGUGCUUAUUCAGUAGGGCACAGGUCGGCUGGGCAGGGCCAUGGCCACUGGGAAAGGACUGGCCAGGAAAACACAGGAGGUGGGUACUUGCCCCCACCCCAUUCCCCAGCCUCCCCAGAUAUCCCAUAUUCUAAAAUUGGACCUU